rnacentral:rRNA from 1 species
CCUACGGGAGGCAGCAGUGGGGAAUUUUGGACAAUGGGCGAAAGCCUGAUCCAGCAAUGCCGCGUGAGUGAAGAAGGCCUUCGGGUUGUAAAGCUCUUUUGUCAGGGAAGAAACGGUGAGAGCUAAUAUCUCUUGCUAAUGACGGUACCUGAAGAAUAAGCACCGGCUAACUACGUGCCAGCAGCCGCGGUAAUACGUAGGGUGCAAGCGUUAAUCGGAAUUACUGGGCGUAAAGCGUGCGCAAGGCGGUUUUGAAGUCUGAAUGUGAAAAUCCCCGGGNUNAACCUGGGAAUUG